UACGAAGGGGGCUAGCGUUGCUCGGAAUCACUGGGCGUAAAGCGCACGUAGGCGGAUCUUUAAGUCAGGGGUGAAAUCCUGGAGCUCAACUCCAGAACUGCCUUUGAUACUGGGGAUCUCGAGUCCGGAAGAGGAGAGUGGAAUUCCUGGUGUAGCGGUGAAAUGCGCAGAUAUCAGGAAGAACACCAAUGGCGAAAGCAGCUCUCUGGGACGGUACUGACGCUGAGACGCGAAAGCGUGGGGAGCGAACGGG
rnacentral:rRNA from 1 species